rnacentral:tRNA from 1 species
GCCGAAGUGGCGGAACAGGGAGACGCGACGGUCUCAAAAACCGUUGGGCAUUACGCCCGUGUGGGUUCGAAUCCCACCUUCGGCA